AACGUAGGAGGCAAGCGUUAUCCGGAGUUACUGGGCGUAAAGGGCUCGUAGGCGGCCAACUAAGUCGGAUGUGAAAUCCCCAGGCUUAACCUGGGAACUGCAUCCGAUACUGGAUGGCUUGAAUCCGGGAGAGGGAUGCAGAAUUCCAGGUGUAGCGGUGAAAUGCGUAGAUAUCUGGAGGAAUACCGGUGGCGAAGGCGGCAUCCUGGACCGGCAUUGACGCUGAUGAGCGAAAGCUAGGGGAGCAAACAGG
rnacentral:rRNA from 1 species